rnacentral:rRNA from 1 species
UACAGAGGUCUCAAGCGUUUGUUCGGAUUCAUUGGGCGUAAAGGGUGUGUAGGUGGCGCCGUAAGUCGGGUGUGAAAUUUCGGAGCUUAACUCCGAAACUGCAUUCGAUACUGCGGUGCUUGAGGACUGGAGAGGAGACUGGAAUUCAUGGUGUAGCAGUGAAAUGCGUAGAGAUCAUGAGGAAGACCAGUGGCGAAGGCGGGUCUCUGGACAGUUCCUGACACUGAGACACGAAGGCCAGGGGAGCAAACGGGG